rnacentral:rRNA from 1 species
AGUCGAACGGCAGCACGGGGCAACCUGGUGGCGAGUGGCGAACGGGUGAGUAAUAUAUCGGAACGUACCCAGAAGUGGGGGAUAACGUAGCGAAAGUUACGCUAAUACCGCAUACGAUCUACGGAUGAAAGUGGGGGACCUUCGGGCCUCAUGCUUUUGGAGCGGCCGAUAUCUGAUUAGCUAGUUGGUGAGGUAAAGGCUCACCAAGGCGACGAUCAGUAGCUGGUCUGAGAGGACGACCAGCCACACUGGGACUGAGACACGGCCCAGACUCCUACGGGAGGCAGCAGUGGGGAAUUUUGGACAAUGGGCGCAAGCCCGAUCCAGCAAUGCCGCGUGAGUGAAGAAGGCCUUCGGGUUGUAAAGCUCUUUUGUCAGGGAAGAAACGGUCUGGGUUAAUACCUUGGGCUAAUGACGGUACCUGAAGAAUAAGCACCGGCUAACUACGUGCCAGCAGCCGCGGUAAUACGUAGGGUGCAAGCGUUAAUCGGAAUUACUGGGCGUAAAGCGUGCGCAGGCGGUUUUGUAAGUCUGUCGUGAAAGCCCCGGGCUUAACCUGGGAAUUGCGAUGGAGACUGCAAGGCUUGAAUCUGGCAGAGGGGGGUAGAAUUCCACGUGUAGCAGUGAAAUGCGUAGAGAUGUGGAGGAACACCGAUGGCGAAGGCAGCCCCCUGGGUCAAGAUUGACGCUCAUGCACGAAAGCGUGGGGAGCAAACAGGAUUAGAUAUCCUGGUAGUCCACGCCCUAAACGAUGUCUACUAGUUGUCGGGUUUUAAUUAACUUGGUAACGCAGCUAACGCGUGAAGUAGACCGCCUGGGGAGUACGGUCGCAAGAUUAAAACUCAAAGGAAUUGAC